GACAGAGGGUGCAAACGUUGUUCGGAAUUACUGGGCGUAAAACGCUUGUAGGUGGCUACGUCAAGUCGGACGUGAAAUCUCCCGGCUUAACUGGGAGGGGUCGCUCGAUACUGGCGAGCUCGAGGCAGGUAGGGGGAAGCGGAAUUCCCGGUGUAGUGGUGGAAUGCGUAGAUAUCGGGAGGAACACCAGUGGCGAAGGCGGCUUCCUGGACCUGUUCUGACACUGAGGAGCGAAAGCGUGGGGAGCGAUCCGG
rnacentral:rRNA from 1 species